rnacentral:tRNA from 2 species
GGCGCGGUAGCCAAGUGGCUAAGGCAAUGGAUUGCAAAUCCAUGUACCGCGGGUUCGAAUCCCGCCCGCGCCU